CUGCACAUUUUAUUCCCCUUAAAUAUAUUCAUGGCAGCAACAAAGCUUUCAGCACAGAGCAGAUGCAGGGUCAGAGCAGAGUGAGCUGGAACGUAUUUUUUUCUAGAGCCCGGACUUUCUGAGGCUCUCCUGGACAUCAUCUGCCCCGCAGCCUUGCUCCAAACCUGGGUGGCACAUAGGGCCCAGGGGCCCGGUGGUUAGACACACAGUUUUCUCUCUCAUUCUUUCUGUUUCUUUACAGAGAUUUCUCAGGAUUCUCUUGUUCCUGUUCUACUGAGGAUCCUCGAGGUGACCUAUAUUGUAUAGAACCUGGAUUGAGAGGCUGCUCACCCCACUGGGCACAAUUAUCAUUUCAAAAUGGAAUUCCAAGGUCACGUGGUUAGCGUAUGAAAGGCUCAGACACGGGCAUUCAUUGGCUGCACUGUCAGAGAGGAGAAGAGGAGAAGUGCAGGACGUCAGAGACUACAGUUGGACAUCAGGAAGAAGCAGUUUGACUUCAGAGGGAUGGCUUGAUGGCAUUGCUUCGGACAGGAGUCUAGCUGGGGAUGGCUGGACUCCAGGGGAAGAUCACCUUCCUGCUCCAUCCCCUUUCCAGCUCCCCUUCCUGCUGAGAGCCA
rnacentral:lncRNA from 10 species